CAGCCGCCGCGGGAAUACGAACCGUGCGAACGUUAUUCGGAAUCACUGGGCUUAAAGCGCGUGUAGGUGGGUGGGUACGUCCGUCGUUGAAAGCCCCCGGCUCAACCGGGGAACUGGCGCGGAUACGGCCUACCUGGAGGGACGUAGGGGGACCUGGAACUUCCGGUGGAGCGGUGAAAUGCGUUGAGAUCGGAAGGAACGCCCGUGGCGAAAGCGAGGUCCUGGACGUUUUCUGACACUGAGACGCGAAAGCCAGGGGAGCGAACGGGAUUAGAUACCCCCGUAGUCCCUGUCUCUUAUA
rnacentral:rRNA from 1 species